GUUUGAUCCUGGCUCAGAUUGAACGCUGGCGGCAGGCCUAACACAUGCAAGUCGAGCGGUAGCACAGAGAGCUUGCUCUCGGGUGACGAGCGGCGGACGGGUGAGUAAUGUCUGGGAAACUGCCUGAUGGAGGGGGAUAACUACUGGAAACGGUAGCUAAUACCGCAUAACGUCGCAAGACCAAAGUGGGGGACCUUCGGGCCUCAUGCCAUCAGAUGUGCCCAGAUGGGAUUAGCUAGUAGGUGGGGUAACGGCUCACCUAGGCGACGAUCCCUAGCUGGUCUGAGAGGAUGACCAGCCACACUGGAACUGAGACACGGUCCAGACUCCUACGGGAGGCAGCAGUGGGGAAUAUUGCACAAUGGGCGCAAGCCUGAUGCAGCCAUGCCGCGUGUGUGAAGAAGGCCUUCGGGUUGUAAAGCACUUUCAGCGGGGAGGAAGGCGAUAAGGUUAAUAACCUUGUCGAUUGACGUUACCCGCAGAAGAAGCACCGGCUAACUCCGUGCCAGCAGCCGCGGUAAUACGGAGGGUGCAAGCGUUAAUCGGAAUUACUGGGCGUAAAGCGCACGCAGGCGGUCUGUCAAGUCGGAUGUGAAAUCCCCGGGCUCAACCUGGGAACUGCAUUCGAAACUGGCAGGCUAGAGUCUUGUAGAGGGGGGUAGAAUUCCAGGUGUAGCGGUGAAAUGCGUAGAGAUCUGGAGGAAUACCGGUGGCGAAGGCGGCCCCCUGGACAAAGACUGACGCUCAGGUGCGAAAGCGUGGGGAGCAAACAGGAUUAGAUACCCUGGUAGUCCACGCCGUAAACGAUGUCGAUUUGGAGGUUGUGCCCUUGAGGCGUGGCUUCCGGAGCUAACGCGUUAAAUCGACCGCCUGGGGAGUACGGCCGCAAGGUUAAAACUCAAAUGAAUUGACGGGGGCCCGCACAAGCGGUGGAGCAUGUGGUUUAAUUCGAUGCAACGCGAAGAACCUUACCUGGUCUUGACAUCCACAGAACUUUCCAGAGAUGGAUUGGUGCCUUCGGGAACUGUGAGACAGGUGCUGCAUGGCUGUCGUCAGCUCGUGUUGUGAAAUGUUGGGUUAAGUCCCGCAACGAGCGCAACCCUUAUCCUUUGUUGCCAGCGUUAGGCCGGGAACUCAAAGGAGACUGCCAGUGAUAAACUGGAGGAAGGUGGGGAUGACGUCAAGUCAUCUGGCCCUUACGACCAGGGCUACACACGUGCUACAAUGGCAUAUACAAAGAGAAGCGACCUCGCGAGAGCAAGCGGACCUCAUAAAGUAUGUCGUAGUCCGGAUUGGAGUCUGCAACUCGACUCCAUGAAGUCGGAAUCGCUAGUAAUCGUAGAUCAGAAUGCUACGGUGAAUACGUUCCCGGGCCUUGUACACACCGCCCGUCACACCAUGGGAGUGGGUUGCAAAAGAAGUAGGUAGCUUAACCUUCGGGAGGGCGCUUACCACUUUGUGAUUCAUGACUGGGGUGAAGUCGUAACAAGGUAACCGUAGGGGAACCUGCGGCUGGAUCACCUCCUUU
rnacentral:rRNA from 1 species